UAAAAGGGUGCUUGCUCUUAUGGCAUACAAGGUCUUAUGUACUUUGUAGAGUAUGGCCAUCAAGACAUACUCAGCACAUAAUUUUUGAAACGGGGAGCUGUUAGGUGCCUAUAUGCACUGGCGCUCCU
rnacentral:snRNA from 1 species